UGGCUCAGGACGAACGCUGGCGGCGUGCCUAACACAUGCAAGUCGAGCGAGGAGAUCCUUCGGGAUGAUCCUAGCGGCGGACGGGUGAGUAACACGUGGGCAACCUGCCUCAUAGAGAGGAAUAGCCUUCCGAAAGGGAGAUUAAUACCUCAUAACAUUGCAGUUUCGCAUGGAACAGCAAUUAAAGGAGUAAUCCGCUAUGAGAUGGGCCCGCGGCGCAUUAGCUAGUUGGUGAGGUAACGGCUCACCAAGGCGACGAUGCGUAGCCGACCUGAGAGGGUGAUCGGCCACAUUGGGACUGAGACACGGCCCAGACUCCUACGGGAGGCAGCAGUGGGGAAUAUUGCACAAUGGGGGAAACCCUGAUGCAAGCAACGCCGCGUGAGUGAUGACGGCCUUCGGGUUGUAAAGCUCUGUCUUCAGGGACGAUAAUGACGGUACCUGAGGAGGAAGCCACGGCUAACUACGUGCCAGCAGCGGC
rnacentral:rRNA from 1 species